AUGCCGAACAAGUGGGAGAACACAUCUUUGGACAAGGGUGAAGGAGAAAGAUGUGAAAAUCCCACCAUGUUGUCACCGCCUCCUCUAUGCAAGUACUUCACAUGGAUAGAUCAUGAAAUGCCAGAAGAUGUCCAAAAGGACCAAUAUCAAGAUUGUCUUAGGCGCCAAUGGCGGUUCGAAGAAUCGUUUCGAAGAGGUUUGGAGGAGGAGCGUCAUCAGAAGGAGAGGUUGGAGCGGAAGAAACGAGAGGAGGAGAGGGCACACCAAGCAAAGCUUGCUCAUGAGGAGGAGAGGGCAAGAAAUCUUGCAAAGGCUCACGAGGCGCAAGAGGAGGAUGAGGCACGUGACAAGAAGGGAAAUGGCCUCGCUUUAGUCGAAAGUCAGCGGAUCCUGCCCAAUUCUCCAACACACCAUUUGUUUCAUGGAACCAGCCCCAUCGAGCAUGGCGGUCCGGAUUCUCUGACACGCCUUGUGUGA
rnacentral:rRNA from 1 species